CCUACGGGUGGCAGCAGUGGGGAAUAUUGCGCAAUGGGCGAAAGCCUGACGCAGCGACGCCGCGUGAGGGAUGAAGGUCUUCGGAUCGUAAACCUCUGUUAGCAGGGACGAACGGUCACUGUGCUAAUCAUCAGUGAAUUGCCGGUACCUGCAACGGAAGCACCGGCUAACUAGGUGGCAGCAGCCGCUGAUAUACGGAGGGUGCGAGCGUGACUCGGAAUUACUGGGCGUAAAGCUCUCGUAGGCGGUAUGUCAAGUCAAGGGUGAAAUCCCCGGGCUCAACGUGGGAACUGCAUUUGAAACUGGCAAACUGGAGUGUGUGAGAGGAUAGUGGAAUUCCAGGUGUAGGAGUGAAAUCCGUAGAUAUAUGGAGGAACAUCAGUGGCGAAGGCGACUAUCUGGCACAUAACUGACGCUGAGGAGCGAAAGCGUGGGUAGCAAACAGGAUUAGAUACCCCUGUAGUC
rnacentral:rRNA from 1 species